rnacentral:rRNA from 1 species
AAUAGAUACCCGGGUAGUCCACCCCGUAAACGUUGGGAACUAGUUGUGGGGUCCUUUUCCACGGAUUCCGGUGACGCAGCUAACGCAUUAAGUUCCCCGCCUGGGGAGUACGGCCGCAAGGCUAAAACUCGAAAGGAAUUGACGGGGACCCGCACAAGCGGCGGAGCAGUGCGGAUUAAUUCGAUGCAACGCGAAGAACCUUACCAAGGCUUGACAUACACCAGAACACCCUAGAAAUAGGGGACUCUUUGGUACACUGGUGAACAGGUGGUGCAUGGUUGUCGUCAGCUCGUGUCGUGAGAUGUUGGGUUUAAGUCCCGCAACGAGCGCAACCCUCGUUCUAUGUUGCCAGCACGUAAUGGUGGGAACUUCAUGAGAUACUGCCGGGGUCAACUCGGGGGAAGGUGGGGAUGACGUCAAAUCAUCAUGCCCCUUAUGUCUUGGGCUUCACGCAUGCUACAAUGGCCGGUACAAAGGGCUGCAAUACCGUGAGGUGGAGCGAAUCCCAAAAGCCGGUCCCGAGUUCGGAUUGAGGUCUGCAACUCGACCUCA